rnacentral:tRNA from 1 species
GCCGCGUUAGCUCAGUUGGUAGAGCAUCCGCCUUGUAAGCGGGAGGUCGGGGGUUCAAGUCCCUCACGCGGCACCA